CUGAGACUUCGAAUCUCGCGCGUGGCGCGGUUGCCCCUCGGGAGCCAGCCGACCAUGCCGGGACCUUCAGAACUUGAACACCCGACCUCUGUUGCCUCGGCGGAUUCGUCCGCCGCUGUGCCACUACAAACAACCGUAGUAAAAUAGUACGUCUGAGCUUCGAGCAACGAAUUA
rnacentral:misc_RNA from 1 species